rnacentral:rRNA from 1 species
GCAAGUCGAACGCGAAAGUACCCUUCGGGGUGCGAGUAGAGUGGCGAAAGGGUGAGUAAUGCAUAGGCAACGUACCUUCGGGAUCGGGAUAGCUGCUGGAAACGGCAGGUAAUACCGGAUGGUCAGGUUGGGAGGCAUCUCCUGGCUUGUAAAUGGUUGGGCAACCUUCUGCCCAAAGAGCGGCCUAUGUCCUAUUAGCUUGUUGGUGAGGUAACGGCUCACCAAGGCUGCGAUGGGUAGCCGGACUGAGAGGUUGGCC